rnacentral:lncRNA from 1 species
GCAAUCCCUCUAAAUUAAUAGAAAGAAAAUAGUGCCGCACUGUAAAAUUACCACGGGCCUCACAUCUUAAAAGAAGACGGUCCAUUGAUAAAAUUAUCAUCUCUUUCCUAUAUAUAAGCAUCUUCUAUGUAUCACGUACCAUUCGGAACUAGGGUUUUUCCAAGCCGCUGCAGUCUCCAUUCUCCUCAUUCCCAUUAUUUUCC